rnacentral:rRNA from 1 species
UUACACCUUUCAGCGAUGGAUGCCUCGGCUUGAACACCGAUGAAGGGCGCAGCGAAGUGUGAUGAACAUUGUGAAUUGCAGAAUUCCGUGAGUCGACAGGUACUUGAACGCGCACUGCGCUUUCGGGACACACCUGAAAGCCUGCCUGCUUCAACGUCUA